rnacentral:lncRNA from 1 species
UUAAAAAGGGGCAAGAGCUCAAAAUUGUUUUGAACACCCCAGAAGAAUCUAUGGAGAUAAUUAAUUUCAGGGAAAAUUGAUUCUUCUAAGAAUUCACGAAUUGGACACCUGGUGUUGAUAAUAGAUGACCAAGAUGUAUAUUACAUUAAGGUAUGUUUUCAGAUCAUGAGCUCUGGUACUAGGAUGAAUACUCAAAUAAAAGCAUGGAAAAGAGAGUAAAUUAAACACGUGUUGAAAAAUAGUUUUGUG